rnacentral:rRNA from 1 species
GGACAACCUGCCCUUAGGACGGGUAUAAACCCGGGAAACUGGGUAUAAUCCCCGAUAGAUCUCGGCUGCUGGAAUGCACCGAGGUCGAAAGCUCCGGCGCCUAAGGAUGGGUCUGCGGCCUAUCAGGUAGUAGUGGGUGUAACGUACCUACUAGCCUACGACGGGUACGGGUUGUGAGAGCAAGAGCCCGGAGAUGGAUUCUGAGACACGAAUCCAGGCCCUACGGGGUGCAGCAGGCGCGAAAACUUUACAAUGCUGGCAACAGCGAUAAGGGGACCUCGAGUGCCAGGUUACAAAUCUGGCUGUCGUGAUGCCUAAAAAGCAUUUCAUAGCAAGGGCCGGGCAAGACCGGUGCCCGCCGCCGCGGUAACACCGGCGGCUCGAGUGGUAACCGUUAUUAUUGGGUCUAAAGGGUCUGUAGCCGGCCGGAUAAGUCUCUUGGGAAAUCCAGCAGCCUAACUGUUGGGCUUUCAGGAGAUACUAUUCGGCUCGAGGCCGGGAGAGGUGAGAGGUACUUCAGGGGUAGGGGUGAAAUCUUGUAAUCCUUGAAGGACCACCAGUGGCGAAGGCGUCUCACCAGAACGGACCUGACGGCAAGGGACGAAAGCUAGGGGCACGAACCGGAUUAGAUACCCGGGUAGUCCUAGCCGUAAACGAUACUCGCUAGGUGUCGGCCACGGUGCGACCGUUGUCGGUGCCGUAGGGAAGCCGUGAAGCGAGCCACCUGGGAAGUACGGCCGCAAGGCU